UGACGAGCGGCGGACGGGUGAGUAAUGUCUGGGAAACUGCCUGAUGGAGGGGGAUAACUACUGGAAACGGUAGCUAAUACCGCAUAACGUCGCAAGACCAAAGAGGGGGACCUUCGGGCCUCUUGCCAUCGGAUGUGCCCAGAUGGGAUUAGCUUGUAGGUGAGGUAACGGCUCACCUAGGCGACGAUCCCUAGCUGGUCUGAGAGGAUGACCAGCCACACUGGAACUGAGACACGGUCCAGACUCCUACGGGAGGCAGCAGUGGGGAAUAUUGCACAAUGGGCGCAAGCCUGAUGCAGCCAUGCCGCGUGUAUGAAGAAGGCCUUCGGGUUGUAAAGUACUUUCAGCGGGGAGGAAGGUGUUGUGGUUAAUAACCGCAGCAAUUGACGUUACCCGCAGAAGAAGCACCGGCUAACUCCGUGCCAGCAGCCGCGGUAAUACGGAGGGUGCAAGCGUUAAUCGGAAUUACUGGGC
rnacentral:rRNA from 1 species